GUCCAAUCCACUGCUGAUUUCACCGCCAUUGCCUCCGCAAAGCCCUUUGUCGAUGCUCUCUCCUCCGCCAUUCGCUCUCUGAAGAAUUCGAACAUUAAUUUUUCGGUCGCAGUCGACCAUGUCGUAGUACCGAUGUUUUUGAUCGACUGGUUCCAGUUGAGUGAGGUUCUCGAGCCUUCGAAUCUUGCGCUGAAGAUUCUGUUUCGUUCCUGCAAAUUCAAGAUUUUCGGUAAGUUUUUCUUAAUUAAUCAACUUGCACACAUAUGUAUGUAUAGAGUACAAUAUUACCUUCCAAGUGAGUGACUUUGCUAUUGAACGGAGAGUUAGUCUCAUCUUGAUCAUCGUCUUCGAAUGGACAAUCCAACACAGAGACGGGACUGAAUUGUUCCUUAUCUUCUUCAUUUGACCACUCCUGAAUAUAAUUCAUUAUAAUCAAUAAAGUUAAAAAUAAAUAAAUUAAUGAAAGAGAGGGAGUAAGGAAUUUUUCUCAAGAAUAUCUUUAACAUGAUUUGAUUGAGAUGAUGAUAAUGUCAAAUAAUGUCGUAUGGGCUCAACAUGUUAUUCUAAGGCUUUGUGAAUAGCAUCCAUGUAUAUGUGCUAGAUUUUAGUGGGGUGGUGAUGAUGCUUUAGGGACUUACACCUUUUUAAUUAUGUUAUUAAAACAAGCUUGACGCCUCUAUGAUAUCUAAAUUCCCUUGCUACUAGGAUUUUGAAAGGUUUGUAUCAUAGGCAUAAGCCUUUUGGUUCCUUGGUUAAAUCUAAAAAAAGUUCUUUUCGUUUGGAAGAAUAUUUUAUGAGGAAAGGAAUCAGGUCUAUCUGGAAAGUUGGCGACGGUAAUGAAAUCAAAGUUUAUGAAGUCAUUUAGGUUUCGAUGUCUUCGAAUUUUAUUGUGUUGUCACCUAACCUAUUCGGUGAGGGAAUUACGGUGUCCCAUUGGGACUACUUGAAUUGAUCAAUGGUCUUUUUGCUCUUGAUGAAGCUACGACAAUUAUAUCAGUUCCUUGCCCUUUCUUACUGACUCGAGAUAGAUUAAUCUGGGAGUAUGAUAAUUCUGACUUCUAUUCUGUUAAAAGUGGUUAUUGGCUUGUUAUACGCAACUUCGGUGUAGGUCGUGCAUCCUCCUCAAUUGGGUUCUCUGGUUGGGGGAAAAAAAUUUGUUCUCUUAAUCUUCCUCCCAAGAUGAAGGCGUUCACUUUGCAUAUUUCUUCUAACUGGAUUCUUACUAAAUGCAACUUUACAAAGCACGGUUUAUUGACAAAUGGUGUAUGUUAAAUCUCAGUUAGAAACUACCCACCAUGCCUUAUGGGGGUGCCCUUAUCUAGUUGAAUGUCAUAAACUUUGAGAUAUUUCUUUGGGGAUCCUCUUGCUUUUAUUAUUUCAUUCAUAAGUUUUUUGAUCCUUUACUUGUGGCCUCUUUAGAGUUGAUUUUGGUGAUUAUAUUGCGAAUUUAGUUUAGUGUCGUGAUUUUCUUGCUCAUUAACCGAUAUUAGACAACUCUCCUAGUGCUUCUCUCUCGAUUGGGAGCUUACAGUCCUCUACAAAUGCAUCUUCUAGUUCUGUUUGGGUGUUGUCUGGUAGGGGGACAGCGAUGAUCAAUUCUUGAUGCUGCUCUCUCUCGACGCUUCCAUUGACAAAUGUGGUUUGGAUAUAGUGGUUGGUGACUUUAUAGGUGAGGUUAUGGUUUUUGCUGUUUGGCACAUUUUGAGAACCUUUUUUUCCUGAAAUGGCGAAAGAUUUAGCUUUAAAAAAUAUUGCCAUCUAAUGUCGUUUAUUGAGUUUUCAGAAUAUGAUAUUUGAAUGUGGUUUUGAAAUUUAAUAAUCAGGUUUAAUUUUUGUAGAUUUAAGACAGUUUUUUUGAAUUUCACUAAGUUUUCAUUCUAUUCUAGAUCUAUUAA